rnacentral:rRNA from 1 species
UACGAAGGGGCGAGCGUUGUUCGGAAUCACUGGGCGUAAAGGGCGCGUAGGCGGCCCUCCUUGUCGCGUGUGAAAGCCCCGGGCUCAACCUGGGAAUUGCAUUCGAGACUGAAUAGCUAGGGUGCGGAAGAGGGAAGCGGAAUUUCCGGUGUAGCGGUGAAAUGCGUAGAUAUCGGAAGGAACACCAGUGGCGAAAGCGGCUUCCUGGUCCAGCACCGACGUCAGGCACGAAAGCGUGGGGAGC